GAACGCACCUUUCGGGGUGAGUGGCAGACGGGUGAGUAACACGUGGGAACGUACCCUUUGGUCUGGAAUAACCCUGGGAAACUAGGGCUAAUACCGGAUACGGCCGGGAGGCGAAAGGUUUACUGCCGGAGGAUCGGCCCGCGUCCGAUUAGCUUGUUGGUGGGGUAAUGGCUCACCAAGGCUUCGAUCGGUAGCUGGUCUGAGAGGAUGACCAGCCACAUUGGGACUGAGACACGGCCCAAACUCCUACGGGAGGCAGCAGUGGGGAAUAUUGGACAAUGGGCGCAAGCCUGAUCCAGCCAUGCCGCGUGAGUGAUGAAGGCCUUAGGGUUGUAAAGCUCUUUUACCUGGGAAGAUCAUGACGGUACCAGGAGAAUAAGCCCCGGCUAACUUCGUG
rnacentral:rRNA from 1 species